rnacentral:misc_RNA from 1 species
AAGUCGUAACAAGGUUUCCGUAGGUGAACCUGCGGAAGGAUCAUUAAAGAGUUAGGGUCCUAGUGGCCCAACCUCCAACCCUCUGUUGUUAAAACUACCUUGUGUGCGUUGGCGGGAUCCGGUUCCGGUCUCGAGCUGACGUUAACUGCGGUUGGCGAGCGCCCGCCAGAGUCCAACCAAACUCUUGUAUUAAACCAGUCGUCUGAGUAUAAAAUUUUAAUUAAAUUAAAA